UGAGGAAUAUUCGUCAAUGGGGGAAACCCUGAACGAGCAACGCCGCGUGGAGGAUGAAGGCCUUCGGGUCGUAAACUUCUUUUAGGGGAGACGAGAAAGGACGGUAUCCCCGGAAUCAGUCACGGCUAACUACGUGCCAGCAGCCGCGGUAAUACGUAGGUGACGAGCGUUAUCCGGAUUUACUGGGCGUAAAGCGCUUGUAGGUGGUGCCGUAAGUUGGGCGUGAAAUCCCCGGGCUUAACCCGGAGAGGCCGUCCAAUACUGCGGUGCUAGAGGAUGUCAGAGGAAGGUGGAAUUCCUGGUGUAGUAGUGAAAUGCGUAGAUAUCAGGAGGAACACCCGUGGCGAAGGCGACCUUCUGGGACGUACCUGACACUGAGAAGCGAAAGCCAGGGGAGCAA
rnacentral:rRNA from 1 species